GAUGAACGCUAGCUACAGGCUUAACACAUGCAAGUCGCAGGGUAACAUGAGGAAAGCUUGCUUUCCUUGAUGACGACUGGCGCACGGGUGAGUAACGCGUAUCCAACCUUCCCAUAACUACGGGAUAACCCGUUGAAAGACGGCCUAAUACCGUAUGACAUCGUUUGCUGACAUCAAAUAACGAUUAAAGGUUUAGCGGUUAUGGAUGGGGAUGCGUCUGAUUAGCUUGUUGGCGGGGUAACGGCCCACCAAGGCUACGAUCAGUAGGGGUUCUGAGAGGAAGGUCCCCCACAUUGGAACUGAGAUACGGUCCAAACUCCUACGGGAGGCAGCAGUGAGGAAUAUUGGUCAAUGGGCGAGAGCCUGAACCAGCCAAGUAGCGUGCAGGAAGACGGCCCUAUGGGUUGUAAACUGCUUUUAUGUGGGGAUAAAGUGCGCGACGUGUCGUGCAUUGCAGGUACCACAUGAAUAAGGACCGGCUAAUUCCGUGCCAGCAGCCGCGGUAAUACGGAAGGUCCGGGCGUUAUCCGGAUUUAUUGGGUUUAAAGGGAGCGUAGGCUGUCUAUUAAGCGUGUUGUGAAAUUUACCGGCUCAACCGGUGGCUUGCAGCGCGAACUGGUCGACUUGAGUAUGCAGGAAGUAGGCGGAAUUCAUGGUGUAGCGGUGAAAUGCUUAGAUAUCAUGACGAACUCCGAUUGCGCAGGCAGCUUACUGUAGCAUAACUGACGCUGAUGCUCGAAAGUGCGGGUAUCAAACAGG
rnacentral:rRNA from 1 species